rnacentral:rRNA from 1 species
GACGAACGCUGGCGGCGUGGAUUAGGCAUGCAAGUCGAACGGUAUCAUCCUUUCGGGGGUGAGAGAGUGGCGAACUGGUGAGUAACACGUAGGAAUCUACCCUUAAGACGGGGACAACCCAGGGAAACUUGGGCUAAUACCGGAUGAGAGUGCGAGAGAUUGCAUUUUAAAAGGAUGGCGAAAGUUGUCGCUUAGGGAUGAGCCUGCGGUCUAUUAGUUAGUUGGUGAGGUAAGAGCUCACCAAGGCGAUGAUAGAUAGGCGGCCUUAACGGGUGGUCGCCCACACUGGGAUUGAGAUACGGCCCAGACUCCUACGGGAGGCAGCAGUCGAGAAUAGUCUACAAUGGCCGGAAGGCUGAUAGUGCGACGCCGCGUGAACGAGGGAGCCCUUCGGGUGUAAGUUCUUUUCUUAUACGAGCAGUGCUAUAUAUAUGGAUAGUAUAUAUAGAGGGAUAGUAGUAUAGGAAUAAGACAACGGCGUAACCUCCGUGCCAGCAGCC